GGAUCACCGGUCGGACUAUCCGUAGCAGGACUGCACAGGUUGUAUCGGACACAUUGUGACUGCAGACCCUGCCCCACACUCUUACGGGAUGCCACCAAUGGGGGAUAUUGCACAACGGGGGAAACCAUCAUGCACCAACGCCGCGUGAGGAAAGAAGGUCUUCUUAUUAUAAACAUCUUUUUUUAUAAAGGAAAAAAAUGACGGUAGCUCAAGAGGAAGCCACGGCUAACUACGUGCCAGCAGCCGCGGUAAUACGUAGGUGACAAGCGUUGUCCGGAAUUAUUGGGUGUAAAGGGUGCGCAGGCGGGAUUACAAGUUGGAUGUGAAAUACCGAGGCUUAACCUCGGACCUGCAUCCAAAACCGUAGUUCUUGAGUGAAGUAGAGGUAGGCGGAAUUCUCAGUGUAGCGGUGAAAUGCGUAGAUAUUCGGAGGAACACCAGUGGCGAAGGCGGCCUGCUGGGCUUUAACUGACGCUGAGGCACGAAAGCAUGGGGAGCAAACAGGAUUAGAUACCCUGGUAGUCCACCCUGUAAACGAGUAAUUUCAGGUGUGGCGGGAAAUGACCCCUUCCGCCCCGGAGUAAACACAAUAAGUAUUCCACCUGGGGAGUACGACCGCAAGGCUGAAACUCAAAGGAAUUGUCGGGGGCCCGCACCAAGCAGUGGAGUAUGUGGUUUAAUCCGAAGCAACGAAGAAGAACCUUCCCAGGUCUUUACAUCCGGCUAAGGAGAUAGAGAUAUGUUAUGUGCCCCUCGGGGAAAGUUGAGACAGGUGGUGCAUGUGUUGUGGUUAGCUCGUGUCGUGAGAUGCCGGGUGUAAGUCCCGCACCGAGCGCAACCCUUGCCAUUAGUUGCUACGCAAGAGCACUAUAAUGGGACCGCUACCGACAAGGUGGAGGAAGGUGGGGUCGACGUCAAAUCAUCAUGCCCUUUACGACGUGGGCUACACACGUAGUGCAAUGUCCGUUAACAGAUGGAAGCAAUAUCGCGAAGUGGAGCAAAUCCUUAUCACCGGUCCCACUUCAGAUCGCAGGCUGAAACUCGCAAGGAUGAAGUUGGAAUUGCUAGUAAUGGCAGAUCAGCAUG
rnacentral:rRNA from 1 species